rnacentral:rRNA from 1 species
UACGUAGGGUGCGAGCGUUAAUCGGAAUUACUGGGCGUAAAGAGCUCGUAGGCGGCUCAGAAAGUCGGGUGUGAAACCUCCAGGCUCAACCUGGAGACGCCACCUGAUACUGCUGUGGCUAGAGUCCGGUAGGGGAACACGGAAUUCCCGGUGUAGCGGUGAAAUGCUUAGAUAUCGGGAGGAACACCAGUGGCGAAGGCGGUGUUCUGGGCCGGAACUGACGCUGAGGAGCGAAAGCGUGGGUAGCAAACAGG